rnacentral:rRNA from 1 species
GAUGAACGCUGGCGGCGUGCUUAACACAUGCAAGUCGAACGAAACACCUUAUUUGAUUUUCUGCGGAACUGAAGAUUUGGUGAUUGAGUGGCGGACGGGUGAGUAACGCGUGGGUAACCUGCCCUGUACAGGGGGAUAACAGGCAGAAAUGACUGCUAAUACCGCAUAAGACCCCAGCACCGCAUGGUGCAGGGGUAAAAACUCCGGUGGUACAGGAUGGACCCGCGUCUGAUUAGCUGGUUGGUGAGGUAACGGCUCACCAAGGCGACGAUCAGUAGCCGGAGUGAGAGAGUGAACGGCCACAUUGGGACUGAGACACGGCCCAAACUCCUACGGGAGGCAGCAGUGGGGAAGAUUGCACAAUGGGGGAAACCCUGAUGCAGCGAGGCCGCGUGAGUGAAGAAGUAUUUCGGUAUGUAAAGCUCUAUCAGCAGGGAAGACAAUGACGGUACCUGACUAAGAAGCCGAGGCUAACUACGUG